rnacentral:rRNA from 1 species
GACGAACGCUGGCGGCGUGCUUAACACACGCAAGUCGAGCGGUAAGGCCCUUUCGGGGGUACACGAGCGGCGAACGGGUGAGUAACACGUGGGUGACCUGCCCUCAGCUCUGGGAUAAGCCUGGGAAACUGGGUCUAAUACUGGAUAUGACUCCACGGUGCAUGUCGUGGGGUGGAAAGCCUUGUGCGGCUGAGGAUGGGCCCGCGGCCUAUCAGCUUGUUGGUGGGGUGAUGGCCUACCAAGGCGACGACGGGUAGCCGGCCUGAGAGGGCGACCGGCCACACUGGGACUGAGACACGGCCCAGACUCCUACGGGAGGCAGCAGUGGGGAAUCUUGCGCAAUGGGCGAAAGCCUGACGCAGCGACGCCGCGUGAGGGAUGACGGCCU